UCCCAUCAGAUUAUUCUUUAAAUAAUUAAUACUUUUAUGCCAUACAUCUGAAUACAAUCAAAGAGUGUUUACAUAUAUUUGUAUAUAGUUGCAUGUAUCAAACAUUAAUAAAGCACAUAACAUAAACUGCAGAAAAUUACAAAUAAAUAUAAUAAUGAUAAAUACAUUAACCAAUGAUCCUUUUGUUAGCUAGACACACGUAUAAAAUAUAAUGCAGUAAUGUAGUGUUUGAUUUCUUCCAAUAUUAUUGGAGAAUUCACCCUUCACCAAGAAGCGUGUUGUCAGCUUAUAUUUUUAAAACUUAUAACCAGAGAGGCUUUCAUGCUUAAGAGAACUUCAAUGUUGAUUGGUUGCAACACCAAAUGGAACAACAAGACGAGGAUAAGUUUCACCACCGUGGUGCUGAGCGUUUCCUGCGACAUUAUUCAUUUCUUCCACAGGGGGGCAGUUUCUGCCACCGGUUCGGGGUAUAUAAGUGCAGGUAGAAGGCCCCGAGGGAGUCACAGGACCCUUGUCUAGAGACAUAAGGUUCAGUUGUUCCUUCAUGUUCAAAACCCUACCAGCUAGGUUUGGCUGAACAUGAACCACAGCAACAAGUAGAAUCAGUGCCAAAAUAAAGUUUAGAACCUUCAUGGUGUGUGUUAAUU
rnacentral:lncRNA from 1 species